GGACGAUACUCUGGAGAGACCCGUUAAAUCGGGCGCCGAAGGAGCAAGGUUCCCCCGAGGGAGCCGGAAACUCUCAGGCAAAAGGACAGAGGGGAUAGG
rnacentral:ncRNA from 2 species